GGCCAGGUCGGGCGGCUCCGACAACAUGUCCUCCCUCUGCGGGGACACGUCUGGAGAAUGGCAGCUGCGCUCCAGCGUUCGCAGCGGGGAGCCAAUGACAUAAUAAAGAGCCGACAUGUUUUAGGGGAGUUUACAUUUUAGUGAUUGCGAACUGGAGGCAGAUGCGUCUCUUAUAGAGCGGCCAAUCCGGCUGUGACCUGGCCAGACAGACCCACAUGAAACGAAUCUGGUGAAUUCCGUGCAGCACAAUGUUUCCAUCCAUGGAGUAGGAUCUAGAAGGACACAAGGAGCUCUACAAGGACAUCGUGAUGGAGGAUCAGCCGCCCCUCACAUCACCGGAUGGAUCCAAUAAGAGGAACCCACCAGAGAGAUGUCCC